rnacentral:rRNA from 1 species
UACAGAGGGUGCAAGCGUUGCUCGGAAUUAUUGGGCGUAAAGGGUAGGUAGGUGGUCUGAUUUGUCUGUGGGUGAAAGCCUUGGGCUUAACCCGAGAAGUGCCCCAGAAACGGUCAGACUUGGAGUACUGGAGAGGUGAGCGGAAUUCCCGGUGUAGCGGUGAAAUGCGUAGAGAUCAGCAGGAACACCCGUGGCGAAGGCGGCCCCCUGGGCCGUACCUGACGCUGAGGCGCGAAGGCUAGGGGAGCGAACGGG